GGGCAGCCCUAGGGGGCGGGGCGGGAUGGGGAUGCGGUACGUAGGCGGCGUGAUCCUUGCUGUUGCUGCCCGCGUCUGAGGAUGACCUUCGUUACCUUGGACUUUCCAUCUGCCGAGUGGGGAGAAGCGAGCGUGAUAGGACAUGCUGUGUAUUCUUGUACUCUUGCUUGGAAAGCAAUUCGUUGGCAAAUGCAUCCAGAAGUUUAAAUUUUGGGUGAAGAGUUUGAAAAGACAAAACGUCAGAACAGAGUGACGUAGAAGGCAGCCGUAUGGUGCACAGAACUCACGGAGAAAGAGAGGAGAUCCAAGAAAGGGGCAAAGAGAUGGAGAAAAUUCUGGAUGGCUCCCAAAGCCAACGGAAGCCCUUCCUCCUUGGGCCUGGAGGUUACAAGAUAAAAGCAAACUGAAAUACAAGCAGGCAAGAAGUUAAAGUUAAGUAGAUAAAGAAGGCCCUCAGUGCAAGCGUGAACAAUAGGGAAAGUAGGUUGUGUUACUGUCAUAUGGGGGACCAUAGAGGAUGUCGUAUAUCACAGAAAACCCACUCUACUGCCGGCCCUUAGAGAAGACCCUGAAAACACAUGUGCAGCAGCUGAAAGACCAAGGUCACCCAAGCAGCCGUUCGCCGUACUAAUAAAUGUCUGGAAGUUAAUGGCCUCCACCCUGAGCACCUCUUGUAAUUGUAGAAGCCAAAGGUAACUUGUAUUAAUCACACGGUAUCUCAAUAAAUUUGGUAUUAAGAUAUUUA